rnacentral:rRNA from 1 species
GUGGGGAAUAUUGCACAAUGGGCGCAAGCCUGAUGCAGCGACGCCGCGUGAGGGAUGACGGCCUUCGGGUUGUAAACCUCUUUCAGCAGGGAAGAAGCCUUGCCUUUUUGGGUGGGUGACGGUACUUGCAGAAGAAGCACCGGCUAACUACGUGCCAGCAGCCGCGGUAAUACGUAGGGUGCAAGCGUUGUCCGGAUUUAUUGGGCGUAAAGAGCUCGUAGGCGGCGUGUCACGUCGGUUGUGAAAGCUCGGGGCUUAACCCCGGGUCUGCAGUCGAUACGGGCAGGCUAGAGUUCGGUAGGGGAGACUGGAAUUCCUGGUGUAGCGGUGAAAUGCGCAGAUAUCAGGAGGAACACCGGUGGCGAAGGCGGGUCUCUGGGCCGAUACUGACGCUGAGGAGCGAAAGCGUGGGGAGCGAACAGGAUUAGAAACCCUUGUAGUCC